rnacentral:rRNA from 1 species
AUAAUGGGUCAGCGACUUAUAUUCUGUAGCAAGGUUAACCGAAUAGGGGAGCCGAAGGGAAACCGAGUCUUAACUGGGCGUUAAGUUGCAGGGUAUAGACCCGAAACCCGGUGAUCUAGCCAUGGGCAGGUUGAAGGUUGGGUAACACUAACUGGAGGACCGAACCGACUAAUGUUGAAAAAUUAGCGGAUGACUUGUGGCUGGGGGUGAAAGGCCAAUCAAACCGGGAGAUAGCUGGUUCUCCCCGAAAGCUAUUUAGGUAGCGCCUCGUGAAUUCAUCUCCGGGGGUAGAGCACUGUUUCGGCAAGGGGGUCAUCCCGACUUACCAACCCGAUGCAAACUGCGAAUACCGGAGAAUGUUAUCACGGGAGACACACGGCGGGUGCUAACGUCCGUCGUGAAGAGGGAAACAACCCAGACCGCCAGCUAAGGUCCCAAAGUCAUGGUUAAGUGGGAAACGAUGUGGGAAGGCCCAGACAGCCAGGAUGUUGGCUUAGAAGCAGCCAUCAUUUAAAGAAAGCGUAAUAGCUCACUGGUCGAGUCGGCCUGCGCGGAAGAUGUAACGGGGCUAAACCAUGCACCGAAGCUGCGGCAGCGACGCUUAUGCGUUGUUGGGUAGGGGAGCGUUCUGUAAGCCUGUGAAGGUGUACUGUGAGGUAUGCUGGAGGUAUCAGAAGUGCGAAUGCUGACAUAAGUAACGAUAAAGCGGGUGAAAAGCCCGCUCGCCGGAAGACCAAGGGUUCCUGUCCAACGUUAAUCGGGGCAGGGUGAGUCGACCCCUAAGGCGAGGCCGAAAGGCGUAGUCGAUGGGAAACAGGUUAAUAUUCCUGUACUUGGUGUUACUGCGAAGGGGGGACGGAGAAGGCUAUGUUGGCCGGGCGACGGUUGUCCCGGUUUAAGCGUGUAGGCUGGUUUUCCAGGCAAAUCCGGAAAAUCAAGGCUGAGGCGUGAUGACGAGGCACUACGGUGCUGAAGCAACAAAUGCCCUGCUUCCAGGAAAAGCCUCUAAGCAUCAGGUAACAUCAAAUCGUA